AGUGUUUCCCAGAGUUUUGUUCAGGACUGUGAAGAAUCCAGUCUACAUGCUGGUGGUUUUGGCUCAGGCAAAUCUAUCACUUGUGGCAUGUAGCCUGGCAACAUUCCUGGCCAAAUUCCUUGAACGGCAAUUCUCUAUCACCGCUUCCUUGGCCAAUCUGAUGCUAGGUAAAACCUUUUAUUAAGCGUUUCUUCUGUCUGUUCCCUAGAAUACCUCUUAAAUCUUUUCUAGAUAAUGAGUUGAAAAAUAAUUCAGAAGAAUUUGUCAUUAUGGAAAUCGGAGGAAUCGGAGGAAUAUAAAAUACGUCAAAUUCCUCGGAAUGUGCUCUGAUAAAUCAGUAUCAAAUAUGUCUGUCUGUACUGUGUGUAAAAAUAAUCUACAUAAAUAUAUCAGAAAUUACUGCUAGCAAACCAUUUUAGAAUUAACCCUUUGAGAUUUAGUAUACACAUCAUAUACAUCAUGCUGCAUUACAAUGCUCUUUCCAUUUCGGACCCUCAAAAGGUUAACAAUGUAACUCUCUACAGUGCUAAGGUCAAAGAAUCUAAAUGUAUGAACAACUAGUUACUGCGGUGAAUUAAAUGUUUGAAAUGUCCCAGCCCAGCAACUACAGAGUUAAAAUACAAUUAUUUGAAAAGAUGAAAGUAUUAGAUGACGACAUACACAAUUUAUGCUACUAGACAUUGAGAUUCAAGGCACGUUACUUUUAUUGGUUUCUAUAAAAAAACAUAUCCUUUGUCUAGAAUGAACGUGAUACUUGUAAAAACAUUUAAAUUGAGUUUUUCCAAUGAAUCAGGUUUCUUAGAUAAAAGAGGGGUUGUUUGGGCCAAGGAUUUCACCGUUUAAUUGCUCGGUCAGCAAGCAGCACGUUGUCUUACAAAGAAGGGAUUGAACUAGCAUAACUGAGAAUUUGAUCCAAAGCUGUUUUCUAAUCAACUGUGCUUCAGAAUAAGAAAUAGACAAGCUCUGAACUAAAAUAGGUUAAUUCAUCAGGCAAUGAGGAACAACACCUUAAUUUCAACCAAAAAUGUAAAAUUGUCAAUAGAGAAUGAUAGAGAUGUUCAUCUUUUAUUAAAUCAACCACUAAAUGCUGCUUAAAGGAACACUAAAGGACACUUAAAGACAAUUAAAGAAUACACAAAGUGUAUGAAUGACACUUUAGCUGUAAAUACAUAGUUUAGAUCCCUUCCCUUCCAGACAGGGGAGUAAAAGGUGUGACAUGUCAUGAUUCCCUUUUAUUCCAGAAGUUUGGUCCUUAAGGGGUUAAACGUUUUCCACUGUGCGUCAGUCUAGGUAAAGUUGGCUCCACCUUCUUGACUGAGAUUAUCAAAACUGACCUUCUCAUCCAAUCCAAUGCUUUCCCUUAGAAAAUAUUGGGAGGGUAUUGUGCCUGCGUGACAAAACGCCACUCUGCGCCAAUUAGCAUCUCCUCGUAGAGUGUUGAGCAUGUCCAUGCAGAGUGUGGAUGCACUGAACAUUAAUGUUGCACGCUCUAGUUAAGCUGUAGUAAUCCUGGUGACUAUAGCGACCCUUUAAGCUAUGCUCAGCAAAUUGAUCUAAAUAUUGGUGGCUUAUGAGUGUUACUAUUUGCACUUACUCAGUGAUAGAGCCAAAUGCUUUCAAUCUUUGUUCACAAACCGAUUCCCAACACAAAUUUGGUCAAUUUUGAUUUAUGCCUUUUAGAGAAAUUCAUAAAAACACAUCUAUGUUAGUAGGUUUCCUUCUUCUGUGGGAUAUUUACUACACUCAUACAAUAUUAGUUAAAGGAAUAGUGACAUCAUAUUUUAAACAUGAGACAAAGGGUAAGGUUGAAUAAAAAGAGGGCAUUACUUAUAAACAUGCAUUACAAAUAGUACCCAAAGAGGCUACAGUACACACUGGAAUCUUUUAUUUAUUUUUAAAAAUACAACAUUCUGACAUUAUUGUUGUCACUUUUUAGCCAAUAUGUGAUUGAACUGGCACAUUAAGUAGAAUAUUUAACUGCUAUAUUAGCGAUUUGUUUGAAAAAAAAAUGACUAAUCCCAAAAAUAAUCAGAUUUUUCACAAGAAAAAAAAGAUUCCAUCAUUUAACUAAUUCAAUAGUUAUUUCACUUUGACCAUUUUAUAGAUACAACCACAACAGUCAACAUUAGUUCGAAAUGUGUCAGGUAACAUAACUAGAUAUUUUUGUUGCAUUUAGCAGCUUUUAUUGUACUUUUUUACAGUUGUAUUGCUUUAAUUUUAACACGAAUGCCAUAUGAAUGUAAUUAAGUGUCCUGAAUGUAAGUUGCGUUUUCGUAGCUGGUAUAUUAUUGUUUAUUGAUAACAUGUUUGCAUCUUGUUACUUUGUUUCCCAUAGGAUCUGUAAACAUUCCGGGAGCGAUGGCUGGAGUUAUCUUGGGUGGUGUUAUCAUGAAGAGGUUCCAGUUGAGCCUCAAGCAGUGUAGUGCCAUGUGUGUCAUUGGCGUGGUGUUGUGUAUUUUCUUUUCUUUUCCUUUAAUUUUCCUUGGAUGCUCAACACAGAAAUUUGCUAGUCCACAUGUUGAAAAUCUAGGAAGGUAAGAAAU